rnacentral:rRNA from 1 species
CACGUAGGGGGCGAGCGUUGUCCGGAUUUAUUGGGCGUAAAGAGCUCGUAGGCGGUUUCGUAAGUCGGGUGUGAAAACUCCAGGCUCAACCUGGAGACGCCACCCGAGACUGCGAUGACUAGAGUCCGGUAGGGGAGUGUGGAAUUCCUGGUGUAGCGGUGAAAUGCGCAGAUAUCAGGAGGAACACCAACGGCGAAGGCAGCACUCUGGGCCGGAACUGACGCUGAGGAGCGAAAGCGUGGGUAGCGAACAGG